rnacentral:rRNA from 1 species
UACGUAGGGGGCAAGCGUUGUCCGGAAUCAUUGGGCGUAAAGAGCGUGUAGGCGGCCUGAUAAGUCGGCUGUGAAAGUCAAGGGCUCAACCCUUGAAUGCCGGCCGAUACUGUCAGGCUAGAGUCCGGAAGAGGCGAGUGGAAUUCCUGGUGCAGCGGUGAAAUGCGCAGAUAUCAGGAGGAACACCUAUGGCGAAGGCAGCUCGCUGGGACGGUACUGACGCUGAGACGCGAAAGCGUGGGGAGCGAACAGG